UUUGACUGGGGCGGUCUCCUCCUAAAGAGUAACGGAGGAGCACGAAGGUUGGCUAAUCCUGGUCGGACAUCAGGAGGUUAGUGCAAUGGCAUAAGCCAGCUUGACUGCGAGCGUGACGGCGCGAGCAGGUGCGAAAGCAGGUCAUAGUGAUCCGGUGGUUCUGAAUGGAAGGGCCAUCGCUCAACGGAUAAAAGGUACUCCGGGGAUAACAGGCUGAUACCGCCCAAGAGUUCAUAUCGACGGCGGUGUUUGGCACCUCGAUGUCGGCUCAUCACAUCCUGGGGCUGAAGUAGGUCCCAAGGGUAUGGCUGUUCGCCAUUUAAAGUGGUACGCGAGCUGGGUUUAGAACGUCGUGAGACAGUUCGGUCCCUAUCUGCCGUGGGCGCUGGAGAACUGAGGGGGGCUGCUCCUAGUACGAGAGGACCGGAGUGGACGCAUCACUGGUGUUCGGGUUGUCAUGCCAAUGGCACUGCCCGGUAGCUAAAUGCGGAAGAGAUAAGUGCUGAAAGCAUCUAAGCACGAAACUUGCCCCGAGAUGAGUUCUCCCUGACUCCUUGAGAGUCCUGAAGGAACGUUGAAGACGACGACGUUGAUAGGCCGGGUGUGUAAGCGCAGCGAUGCGUUGAGCUAACCGGUACUAAUGAACCGUGAGGCUUAACCUUACA
rnacentral:rRNA from 1 species